AUGAAGGAUGAAAGAGUGAGUCAAAUAUGGUGGGACGCCUGUUCGCAGCGGUGGGACGAGGCGAUUGAAGGAGAAAGACGCAGAUCGAACAAGAAGCGUGGAGAUCAGAAGAUGAUGAGACAAAGAGAUGCUAAGGAGGUUAUGAUGGCAUUAUGUUGGGAUGGUGGCACCGCGGUGAGAGACGGAGCAAGACAGAGAAGGUUAUGA